rnacentral:rRNA from 1 species
AUUGAACGCUGGCGGCAUGCCUUACACAUGCAAGUCGAACGGCAGCGGGGACUUCGGUCCGCCGGCGAGUGGCGAACGGGUGAGUAAUAUAUCGGAACGUACCUUUCAGUGGGGGAUAACGUAGCGAAAGUUACGCUAAUACCGCAUAUUCUGUGAGCAGGAAAGCAGGGGAUCGCAAGACCUUGCGCUGAUUGAGCGGCCGAUAUCAGAUUAGCUAGUUGGUGAGGUAAAGGCUCACCAAGGCGACGAUCUGUAGCGGGUCUGAGAGGAUGGUCCGCCACCCUUGGACUGAGAAACGGCCCAGACUCCUCCGGGAGGCAGCAGUGGGGAAUUUUGGACAAUGGGGGCAACCCUGAUCCAGCCAUGCCGCGUGAGUGAAGAAGGCCUUCGGGUUGUAAAGCUCUUUCGGCCGGGAAGAAAUCGCGCAGGCUAAUACCCUGUGUGGAUGACGGUACCGGAAUAAGAAGCACCGGCUAACUACGUGCCAGCAGCCGCCGUAACAC